GUAAACGAUGCCAGUACAAACGUAUUUACGUACUCUUAUUUUGAAACCGGAAGAUCAGAAAUAGCGUCGCUAUGGUAACGGAAGAAACUCUGCAACGAUUAGCGUGUUAGCAAUUCUGACUUCUUAAUUUCUUCUUGCUUGUUGUAUAUGGUUUUACUUAGCUAGCGUUACUUUAUUGACAUGCGAUGGGGUCUGAUACAUACCUCAUACGACCUAAUCAGCAGUACAAGUUUAAGCCAGCCAUUGUGAAGGAGUGCAUUCGUGAAAUUGUGAGGGAGCGACUGUCGGGGAUACUGUAUAACUCAGAGGAAGUCCCAGAGCUGUCCCGUUCACUGGCAGACGCCAUUAAGGAAAAAGUGAAGAAUGCAGGGUUUGACAGAUAUAAGCUUGUCGUGCAGGUGGCAAUUGGAGAACAACGAGGACAAGGAGUCAAGAUGUCUUCAAGGUGUUUGUGGGAUGCUGACACAGACAACUAUGCAGAAGAUGUUUUCAUGAACGACAGCUUGUUCUGUGUGGUGGCAGUUUUCGGAAGCUAUUACUAUUGAGGACAAGAGGAUGGACGACAGUUCUUUCACAUAAAAGAGGUGAACAUCCAAAUGAGAUUGCUUGCCAUUAGCCCUUCGGGUCCACAGUGCGUCAAUCUGAAGUAACUAUAGAUGUAUUUGGUGCAUCAGGACACAUGACCUUCAGUGAAGGAUAUCUGUGCUGAUACAGUAGUGAUGUUACAAUGAAAGACUUCAACAGGGUUUACAGACUUGGAAACAUUUAAUGUCUAUUCAGCAGACUUGCUAGAUUGGUAGAAUUUUUGUAAUCACAACUGAAUGUACUGCAGUACAGUGCGUAUAUGUACUACACUUUGGGUGCAUGACUUAGCACAGCAUCUACAGUAGAGGUGGGUAUUUGUCUCUGAUUGUCAACUACAUGAAAUGGAUAUUACUGUUGAGAUGAGUAGAAAGCCACAACCACAGCACUUGCUUUAUCGCCUUUGUGGUGCAGGGAAUGAAUUCCCCCAAAUAUCAAUUAAAGGUCC